rnacentral:rRNA from 1 species
CAAGAGUACGUGAAACCGUUCAGGGGUAAACCUGAGAAACCCAAAAGAUCGAAUGGGGAGAUUCAACGAGAACUCUGCCGAUUGCCGUGUGACGCGCGAUAUUCGUUGCUUCGGCAACGGGUACGCCGUUGCUGCGGUUUCAUUGGUGGACGUAAGCGUGCACUUCUCCCCUAGUAGGACGUCGCGACCCGUUGGGUGCCGGCCUACGGCCCGCUGGGUUGACUGUUGCUUGGGCGUUUACGCGCCUCUCGUGGCAGACCCGCGGUUCCCCGGCCGGCUGCCCGGCGGUAGUGAUCAUUCAAGAAUUGGUACUUAGCCGCAUCUCGUAUGUGCGUACCGGCUCUGUGGCAGGCUUGCCUUGCUCGGCGUUACGGACCUAGUGCCGUUGCCGGGUACUUGGUGGGUCGUUUUGCCAUCGAUGUCCUCGUACUGGCUAUUACCGGUCGGCGACGCUACUGCUUUGG